rnacentral:rRNA from 3 species
GUUAUAUGGUCAAGCGAAUAAGCGCACACGGUGGAUGCCUAGGCGGUCAGAGGCGAUGAAGGACGUGGUAGCCUGCGAAAAGUGUCGGGGAGCUGGCAACAAGCUUUGAUCCGGCAAUAUCCGAAUGGGGAAACCCACUGCUUCGGCAGUAUCCUGCAGUGAAUUCAUAGCUGCUGGAAGCGAACCCGGUGAACUGAAAUAUCUAAGUAACCGGAGGAAAAGAAAUCAACCGAGAUUCCCUAAGUAGUGACGAGCGAACGGGGAGCAGCCCUUAAGCUGGAAUGGCUUUAGAAAAACAAUCUGGAAAGAUUGGCCAUAGAAGGUGAUAGCCCUGUAUUUAAAAGGGCCACUCCAGUGAAGACGAGUAGGGCGGGGCACGUGAAACCCUGUCUGAAUAUGGGGGGACCAUCCUCCAAGGCUAAAUACUCCUGACCGACCGAUAGUGAACCAGUACCGUGAGGGAAAGGCGAAAAGAACCCCGGAGAGGGGAGUGAAAUAGAUCCUGAAACCGUGUGCGUACAAGCAGUAGGAGCUCGCAAGAGUGACUGCGUACCUUUUGUAUAAUGGGUCAGCGACUUACUGUUCGUGGCAAGCUUAACCGUAUAGGGGAGGCGAAGGGAAACCGAGUCUGAUAAGGGCGCAUAGUCGCGGGCAGUAGACCCGAAACCGGGUGAUCUAGUCAUGGCCAGGGUGAAGGUGCCGUAACAGGUACUGGAGGCCCGAACCCACGUCUGUUGCAAAAGACGGGGAUGAGCUGUGAUUAGGAGUGAAAAGCUAAUCGAACCCGGAGAUAGCUGGUUCUCCUCGAAAGCUAUUUAGGUAGCGCCUCGGACGAAUACUACUGGGGGUAGAGCACUGUUAUGGCUAGGGGGUCAUCGCGACUUACCAAACCAUUGCAAACUCCGAAUACCAGUACGUACUAUCCGGGAGACACACGGCGGGUGCUAACGUCCGUCGUGAAAAGGGAAACAACCCAGACCCACAGCUAAGGUCCCAAAUUCACUGCUAAGUGGAAAACGAUGUGGAAAGGCAUAGACAGCCAGGAGGUUGGCUUAGAAGCAGCCACCCUUUAAAGAAAGCGUAAUAGCUCACUGGUCGAGUCGGUCUGCGCGGAAGAUUUAACGGGGCUAAGCAGUGAACCGAAGCUUGGGGUGCAUAAAACUUGUUUUAUGCGCGGUAGAGGAGCGUUCCGUAAGCCUGCGAAGGUGGAUUGAGAAGUCUGCUGGAGGUAUCGGAAGUGCGAAUGCUGACAUGAGUAACGAUAAUGCGGGUGAAAAGCCCGCACGCCGAAAGCCCAAGGUUUCCUUGCGCAACGUUAAUCGACGCAGGGUUAGUCGGUCCCUAAGGCGAGGGCGAAAGCCGUAGUCGAUGGGAAGCAGGUUAAUAUUCCUGCACCUCGCGUGAGUGCGAUGGAGGGACGGAGAAGGUUAGGUGUACCGGGCGUUGGUUGUCCCGGGGAAAGGCGGUAGGUUUGGAUCUUUGGCAAAUCCGGGGUCCUUUAAGACCGAGCACCGAGACGAGCCUUUAUGGCGAAGUCACUGAUACCACGCUUCCAGGAAAAGCUCCUAAGCUUCAGCUCACGAAGACCGUACCGUAAACCGACACAGGUGGGUAGGAUGAGAAUUCUCAGGCGCUUGAGAGAACUCGGGUGAAGGAACUAGGCAACAUGGCACCGUAACUUCGGGAGAAGGUGCACCCUUUUUGGUGGCUCAUGCGAGCUAUAGCUGAAGAGGGUCGCAGAAACCAGGCCGCUGCGACUGUUUAUCAAAAACACAGCACUCUGCAAACACGAAAGUGGACGUAUAGGGUGUGACGCCUGCCCGGUGCUGGAAGGUUAAUUGAUGGGGUCAGCCGCAAGGCGAAGCUCUUGAUCGAAGCCCCAGUAAACGGCGGCCGUAACUAUAACGGUCCUAAGGUAGCGAAAUUCCUUGUCGGGUAAGUUCCGACCUGCACGAAUGGCGUAACGACAGCGGCGCUGUCUCCACCCGAGACUCAGUGAAAUUGAAAUCGCUGUGAAGAUGCAGCGUUCCCGUGGCAAGACGGAAAGACCCCGUGAACCUUUACUAUAGCUUUACACUGAACGUUGAGUUCGUCUGUGUAGGAUAGGUGGGAGGCUAUGAAACUGUGGCGCUAGCUGCAGUGGAGCCAUCCUUGAAAUACCACCCUGUCGUGCUUGACGUUCUAACCUAGAUCCGUUAUCCGGAUCAGGGACCGUGUAUGGUGGGUAGUUUGACUGGGGCGGUCUCCUCCUAAAGAGUAACGGAGGAGCACGAAGGUACGCUCAGCGCGGUCGGACAUCGCGCACUGUGUGCAAAGGCAUAAGCGUGCUUGACUGCAAGAUCGACGGAUCAAGCAGGUACGAAAGUAGGUCUUAGUGAUCCGGUGGUUCUGUAUGGAAGGGCCAUCGCUCAACGGAUAAAAGGUACUCCGGGGAUAACAGGCUGAUACCGCCCAAGAGUUCAUAUCGACGGCGGUGUUUGGCACCUCGAUGUCGGCUCAUCACAUCCUGGGGCUGUAGUCGGUCCCAAGGGUAUGGCUGUUCGCCAUUUAAAGUGGUACGCGAGCUGGGUUCAGAACGUCGUGAGACAGUUCGGUCCCUAUCUGCCAUGGGCGUUGGAAGUUUGAGAGGGGCUGCUCCUAGUACGAGAGGACCGGAGUGGACGAACCUCUGGUGUUCCGGUUGUCACGCCAGUGGCAUUGCCGGGUAGCUAUGUUCGGAAGCGAUAACCGCUGAAAGCAUCUAAGCGGGAAGCGCGCCUCAAGAUGAGACUUCCCGGGGCACAAGCCCCCUAAAGGAACCAUAUAGACUAUGUGGUUGAUAGGUCAGGUGUGUAAGUACAGCAAUGUAUUGAGCUAACUGAUACUAAUGAUCCGUGCGGCUUGACCAUAUAACCUCA